rnacentral:rRNA from 1 species
UGGGGAAUUUGGACAAUGGGCGCAAGCCUGAUCCAGCCAUGCCGCGUGCGGGAAGAAGGCCUUCGGGUUGUAAACCGCUUUCGUCAGGGAAGAAAUCUUCUGAGUUAAUACCUCGGGAGGAUGACGGUACCUGAAGAAUAAGCACCGGCUAACUACGUGCCAGCAGCCGCGGUAAUACGUAGGGUGCAAGCGUUAAUCGGAAUUACUGGGCGUAAAGCGUGCGCAGGCGGUUUUGUAAGACAGAGGUGAAAUCCCCGGGCUCAACCUGGGAACUGCCUUUGUGACUGCAAGGCUUGAGUGCGGCAGAGGGGGAUGGAAUUCCGCGUGUAGCAGUGAAAUGCGUAGGUAUGCGGAGGAACACCGAUGGCGAAGGCAAUCCCCUGGGCCUGCACUGACGCUCAUGCACGAAAGCGUGGGGAGCAAACAGGAUUAGAUCCCUGGUAGUCCACGCCCUAAACGAUGUCAACUGGUUGUUGGGAAGGUUCCUUCUCAGUAACGUAGCUAACGCGUGAAGUUGACCGCCUGGGGAGUACGGCCGCAAGGUU